AUUGAACGCUGGCGGCAUGCCUACACAUGCAAGUCGAACGGCAGCACGGGAGCAAUCCUGGUGGCGAGUGGCGAACGGGUGAGUAAUAUAUCGGAACGUGCCCAGUCGUGGGGGAUAACGUAGCGAAAGCUACGCUAAUACCGCAUACGAUCUAUGGAUGAAAGCGGGGGAUCGCAAGACCUCGCGCGAUUGGAGCGGCCGAUAUCAGAUUAGGUAGUUGGUGAGGUAAAGGCUCACCAAGCCGACGAUCUGUAGCUGGUCUGAGAGGACGACCAGCCACACUGGGACUGAGACACGGCCCAGACUCCUACGGGAGGCAGCAGUGGGGAAUUUUGGACAAUGGGCGCAAGCCUGAUCCAGCAAUGCCGCGUGCAGGAUGAAGGCCUUCGGGUUGUAAACUGCUUUUGUACGGAACGAAACGGCGAGCUCUAAUACAGUUUGCUAAUGACGGUACCGUAAGAAUAAGCACCGGCUAACUACGUG
rnacentral:rRNA from 1 species